rnacentral:rRNA from 1 species
UACAGAGGUCCCAAGCGUUGUUCGGAUUCAUUGGGCGUAAAGGGUGCGUAGGUGGCGCCGUAAGUCGGGUGUGAAAUUUCGGAGCUUAACUCCGAAACUGCAUUCGAUACUGCGGUGCUUGAGGACUGGAGAGGAGACUGGAAUUCAUGGUGUAGCAGUGAAAUGCGUAGAGAUCAUGAGGAAGACCAGUGGCGAAGGCGGGUCUCUGGGCCGAUAUUGACGCUGAGGAGCGAAAGCGUGGGGAGCGAACAGG